ensembl:lncRNA
UUAUUGUUCUUGGGAACAAAAAUCAUAUUCCCAGAAUCCAGCCAAGCACGCGGCACACGCAUGUCAGCGCACACACACACACACACACCAAUACAAACAGUGACUUAGCGCUGAUAGUGACUUAAAAUAUCUGUUUCAGGAAGACAGCAAUGAAGAGCAGUUUGUUCAUGACCUUGGAAAAACCAAGAGAGCUGUUUUUACCGUCACCAGUGCCUUCCCGCGUGAGCGUCCUUGGCAUACAGUCCCCUCACCUGGUGCAACCUUUCUGGUCACUGUCUUACUCUCAGAUGACUGCAUCUAAUCAAGGAUGAGCUGAAUUUGGCUUGGGAAGUAUUUGUUUGUAAAUGAGAGAUUCCUCAUAAAGUAAAUGCUUUCAGGAUCCAGGGAGUAAUUUAAUAGUGGUGUGUUUUGGCCACCUUGGCAUGAAGUGGGAGAAAUAUUUGGGAAAGAGAGGGGAGAGAGAGAGGUGGACUUACUUAAACUCAGUUAUGCUAUACUUAUAGGAGAUAAAAAUACACGAAAAAUCAUAAGCGCAUGGUCUGUUUUGCUUUUGAACAGUGCAAAUACAUUUCCUCUCCCACCAAUCACACUUCUCUUAGCAGACAGCACUUGAGUGCCCUCAGAGGCACCCAAACAUGUCCAUGAAAGCACCACGAAGAGAGGAAAACCAAGUCAUUUUGGGGUUGUCAUUCCUAAAUCAAAACUGUUAUUGAAAAAUUUCCUUCUAGUGAGAGUCUAGGAGCAUUUCCCGCCUUGGUCGUGCCACAUGGCUUGCAGGGAUCUUAGUUCCCUGACCAGGGAUUGAACCCUUGCUUCCUGCAGUGGAAGCCCAGAGUCCUAACCGCUGGACCGCCGGAGAAGUCGCAAGAGCCUAGACAUUUUAAACAGGAAUCUCUUGGAUUAUUUAAUGAGAUGAUCUUGUUUUGGUUUUGUGUUUUAGGCUUUUUAUUGUAUGUUUUAUGAUGUUGUUAUUGUUUGUAUUAUUGCUUUGGAAAAUUCUGAAUAAUGGCUUGAUUAUUCUGGUAGGAAAUCAUCAUCAAAAGCAGCUUACCCUUCUUAGAAAUGUAUGUUUGUGUUUUGCUUUGAGAAGGAAUAUUUAAACUUUCCACAAGUUUGUGGAGAAGACAGAGUUUACUUGCAGCCACCCAAGGCACAUUUCCACCUUUGUGACCGCCUCAGAGAGGAUUGAAAACUGUUUGAAUUCAUCUCUCAUGCAAACAAGAUGGGCAGAACUGGUGCCUCCCUCUUUGAAGAAUCUGCACUUUGAAAAAUGAUUGUUUUCUGACUAUAAAAAUAAUGCAGCUUAAUUUAUUAUGGAAACUGUGAAAAACAGAGAACAAUGUAUUAUACAAAGUAAAAAUCUCCUAUACCCCUACUACCUAGAAAGAGCCACUGUUAAUAUUUUGGUGUAUAUCUGAUGAGUAUUUUAAAAUUAUCUAAAUAUGUAUCUAUAAUUUAUAGAUAAUAAUAUGUGCUAUAGAUGUAAUUAUUAUAGAUAAUAUGUAUUAUAAUGUUCUCUAUCUAAAAUUGUAUAGAUAAGCAUAGACAAUCUCAUUAUUUGCUCUUUUCACUUGAUUAUUCAGAACACUACUAUUCUGUUCUAGCAUACUUCCUGUGGUUGCAGAGAAUGUUAACCUGUGGAUGGAUAAACUUUGUUUAAGCAGUUGCUAUCAUUGUACAUUUGGUUGUUCUUAGUUUUUAUAAAUACUUUUGUAUGAACACAUUGCUGUUUAAUCUUUGAGAUGUCUUAGAAUGCAUUCCUAGAAGUGCAAGUGUUGCAUCAAAGGUAGUCAGGUGUUUGAAAAAAAUUUUUUACCAAAUUCCCCUGGGUUGGGAUACAGUUUUGAGGGCAUGAGCCUGCUGUGUCCCCUUUUGCCUGGCAAAGCAAUAAAGCUAUUCUUUUUGCUUCA